GCGGCCGUGGCGGAAUGGCAGACGCGCUAGGUUGAGGGCCUAGUCGAGGUUUACUCGGUGGAGGUUCAAGUCCUCUCGACCGCACCA
rnacentral:tRNA from 5 species